rnacentral:rRNA from 1 species
CGAACUCCUACGGGAGGCAGCAGUGGGGAAUAUUGACACAAUGGGGGAAACCCUGAUGCAGCGACGCCGCGUGGAGGAAGAAGGUCUUCGGAUUGUAAACUCCUGUUGUUGGGGAAGAUAAUGACGGUACCCAACAAGGAAGUGACGGCUAACUACGUGC